GCGUUGGCGAACCAGGUGGACACCUGAGUGAGAGUCAUCUUGGUGAUGAUGGCCAGCAUGAUCUUCUCGCCCUUGGUGGGGCCCGAAGUCCCCGGGCUGCAGUGAGAACCCGCGAUCCCUCGGCUUCCUGCAGACGCCUUGGCGCACGCUCCCACCGCUCCCUCCCCCCGCGCUCGGGUUACAGCAGCCGCGUGGACGCCCGAGUGCGUGGCCUGGUGUCCGCACCGGGAGGGGUUUGUGUCUGACCAGGAAUCCGGACCCCGAGUAUCCCAGCAGGCGCGGGGCCGCGGCCUCCAGGGCCGCCCCAGAACGGACUGCCUCUCCCCACCAGCCGCCAGGACCUCGGAGCCCCUCUCUGGGUCCAGAGAAGCGACGGGGAAACUUUGGGAGAAACUUUGCCAACUUCGCUCUCGGCGAGGGAGAGGCUGCCCGAAUGGCCGGGCCAGCGGCUGGCCGCGACGCGCGGGGUGGGCCCCCAGCCAGGCCCGGGCACCCGGAGCGGGCCGGUCCGCCCAAGGAGCCGCUCCAAGCCGGCCGGCCGGCCCCUCCCUCCCCCACUCCGCCCCUGCUCCUCCCCGACCUGGCCCGCGCCCUUGGGUCUCCAAGCAGCCGAGAUGCGCAGCGCCCAGAACUAACAGGAUCGGGAAACCUGGCCCUCAGCGCGAGUGACGUUAUUUUUUUUUUUACCUCUCCAGGAUCAUCCUUUUCCACCUGACUCGAGCAGUUUCACUCCCUCCCCCUCCUUUGUUUGUCUCUAUCCAUCUGUCUUUCCCACUCUCUAUAUAUUCGAUUUCUAGGUCAUUGCUUUUUCUUCUCUUUCCUCAAUUCCCUCAUUCGCCGUUUUCUUUUUUCCUCUGGACCACUUUUCUCAGUUUUGCUCCCUCCCUCUUCCCUUAUUUUAUCGCUGUUCCCCCUCUCUCUGACUCUGCAUCUCUUUCCCUCGCCCUCAUUGCUUGUUCUUUCUUUUUUUUUCGUCCCUCUCUUUCAUCCUAAUCUGUUUCCUUCCUUCGUCGAUUUCUUGGUCUGUCUCUCAGGUUCUUUGCAUGUAUUUUCUCUGCUCUUCCUCUCCAGGAUCCGUCCCCUCCCCACCGUGGAUCUGCCUUCCUGGAGGCGCCCCCUCCUCAUCCAUCUUGGGAGAUGAAUAUGUCGCUUUAUUGGAUGCCGAGGCCAGAGCUGGGUGAUGGGGCUCGGCCAGCCUAGCGCGUUUUCUUCAUGCAUAUUGACGAGAUGGUAAUGAGUGCGUUUGCAUUGUUGCAUGGAGGUGCUUCGUUUCCUGCCGCAGUUCGGAGCCGACGAGGGUGUCGCGGGCCCAAGAGUGCCCUCAGCGGGUUCACCGUGCUCAGGGCCCGGGGAAGGAAGUGAUCUCGCCGAGCGCGCGCUCGGGCCGCCGCCUCCUUGGGCUUCUCCACAAAGGCUGGCGGCCCUCCUCUCAUUAAAGCCUCAUUACUGGAACCCCCGCUUGGCUCGCGACGGUUCCUUCGCGCCCCCCAGCCAAGGGACCUCAGAACCCCCUCCCCUGAUGUUUUGAGGCCCGUGAUGGAGCGCCACCAGGAAAUUAGUGCCUGACAACAUCGUCUAAUGGCAAUAAAUUGUUUGCGAUUCCGAAUGACACGUCGCGGGAUCAAACACAGCCGCAUUGUGUAUGGUGCCCUCGCUCACUCGUUAACUUGGAGUGCGCAGUGGCCGCUCUUGGUCAGGGAAGGUUGUGCGCAGGCCGCUGGCUGUCCGCUCCCGCCUGGGCUCAGCCGACCUGGAGGAUCUAGCCGUUCUAGAGGGGCGUGUCCCUCCCAGAGAAGAUCUGCAAAACUCAGGACCCAGGCACGCCUCUCCAAGAGGUGAAGGUUUCUGAAAGUCAGGAGCUCAGAGGGCGCAAACUCUGAGUUGAGCUCAGAGGGAACCGACGUACUCCUUGCUGGAAAAUCAGAAGGGCAUGAAGCCUCCGUUCCAGACACAGUCGAGUGGAGAACCUCUGGACAUUACACUUUUGCAUUAAUCUCCCCAUUCUCUUCCAACUUCGUACUGGGAAAGUUGAGAGCUCUUGGUUUAGAAGCAAAAAUGUCAAAUCUGGACUUGUCUGGAAUUGUGUAAUAUCGCGUCCCGCAAACUUCAAGCCCACGGCUACCACCUCUACGAUUAUUUGCUUAAUAUUUUCCUUUAUGUUGACUCACUUUAAAUACUUAAAUACAUGUUUUUGGAAAAAAAACCUUGAUACUGCUACUGUGACUGGAAAAGUGGCUGUUACUCACCAUAAAAGGAAAUUGUAAAAGAUAAACACAACCAACCAACGUUAAUACAGGUUAGCCAUGUUGCUUGCCUGGGAAUGACUUCUAGAGGUCCAACUGUGUGUGUGUGUGUGUGUGUGUGUGUGUGUGUGUGUGUAUUAUCAAGUGUUGAGAGUGUCAAGUACGAAUCUUUCUAGAAGAAAUGAGGGAACUGAAAAGGGAAUGUUUCCCACUAUUCAAUAAUGUGAAUUAAUUCUUUAUCUCCACACUAUCUAAAAUUAUGUUGAGGAC